rnacentral:rRNA from 1 species
CGGACCCGAGGAUCUGCAUAUCAAUAGGCCGACAACACUGCAUCUUUGCGUCGGAGUUUAAGUAAAUUAAACAAAACUUUCAACAACGGAUCUCUUGGUUCUGGCAUCGAUGAAGAACGCAGCGAAAUGCGAUAAGUAAUGUGAAUUGCAGAAUUCAGUGAAUCAUCGAAUCUUUGAACGCACAUUGCGCCCCUUGGUAUUCCGAGGGGCAUGCCUGUUCGAGCGUCAUUUCACCACUCAAGCCUGGCUUGGUAUUGGGCGCCGCGGUCAAUCCGCGCGCCUCAAAGUCUCCGGCUGAGCUGUCCGUCUCUAAGCGUUGUGAUUUCAUUAAUCGCUUCGGAGUGCGGGCGGCCGCGGCCGUUAAAUCUUUCAAAGGUUGACCUCGGAUCAGGUAGGGAUACCCGCUGAACUUAAGCAUAUCAAUAGGCCG